rnacentral:rRNA from 1 species
AUUGAACGCUGGCGGAAUGCUUUACACAUGCAAGUCGAGCGGCAGCGCGGGGCAACCUGGCGGCGAGCGGCGAACGGGUGAGUAACAUAUCGGAACGUACCCAGUCGUGGGGGAUAACUAUCCGAAGGAUAGCUAAUACCGCAUACGACCUGAGGGUGAAAGCGGGGGACCGAAAGGCCUCGCGCGAUUGGAGCGGCCGAUAUCGGAUUAGCUAGUUGGUGAGGUAAAGGCUCACCAAGGCGACGAUCCGUAGCUGGUCUGAGAGGACGACCAGCCACACUGGAACUGAGACACGGUCCAGACUCCUACGGGAGGCAGCAGUGGGGGAAUUUUUGGGACAAUGGGGGCAACCCUGAUCCAGCCAUUCCGCGUGAGUGAAGAAGGCCCUCGGGUUGUAAAGCUCUUUUGUCCGGAAGAAAGCAAUCGGUUAAUACCCGGUUGUUCUGACGGUACCGGAAGAAUAAGCACCGGCUAAC